UCCCUGAUGGUCUAGUGGCUAGGAUUCGGCGCUCUCACCGCCCCGGUCGGCCCGGGUUCGAUUCCCGGUCAGGGAA